rnacentral:ncRNA from 1 species
CCCGUUAUUCUUUGACGAAAGCCCUGCCCGACCCGGCAGGGAGAGACCCGAGGAGC